rnacentral:rRNA from 1 species
GAUGAACGCUGACAGAAUGCUUAACACAUGCAAGUCAACUUGAACUUCGGUUUGGGUGGCGGACGGGUGAGUAACGCGUAAAGAACUUGCCUCACAGAUAGGGACAACAUUUGGAAACGAAUGCUAAUACCUGAUAUUAUGAUUAUAUGGCAUCGUAUAAUUAUGAAAGCUAUAUGCGCUGUGAGAGAGCUUUGCGUCCCAUUAGCUAGUUGGAGAGGUAACGGCUCACCAAGGCGAUGAUGGGUAGCCGGCCUGAGAGGGUGAUCGGCCAAAAGGGGACGGAGACACGGCCCUUACUCCUUCGGGAGGGAGGAGGGGGGAAUUAUUGGCGAAGGACCAAGGGUCUGAUGCAGCAAUUCUGGUUGGAAGGUGAAGUUUUUCGGAAUGUAAAGUGGUUUCAGUUGGGGAGAAAAAAAUGACGGUACCAAGAGAAGAAGGUACGGCUAAAUACGUG